UCAAACUUGGUCAUUUAGAGGAAGUAAAAGUCGUAACAAGGUCUCCGUUGGUGAACCAGCGGAGGGAUCAUUACCGAGUUCCACAAAACUCCCAACCCUAUGUGAACCUUACCGUCGUUGCCUCGGCGUCGAGCGGCAGAUGCCUCCGGCCGGUAUGCCUGUGGGAUAGCUACCCUGUAGCUACCCUGCAACUACCCUGUACGAGGCGUGCCUGGGUAAAGCUACCUUGUAGCUUUCCCGGUAGGUGCCCACCUACGCUCCGCCGGUGGAAAUCUUAAGACUCUGUUUUUGUUUAGUGCAUCUCUGAGCUAGUUAACGAAAUACGUUAAAACUUUCAACAACGGAUCUCUUGGUUCUGGCAUCGAUGAAGAACGCAGC
rnacentral:misc_RNA from 1 species